AUUAACCAAGCCGAAAACUGCGAAUGGCUCAUUAAAUCAGUUAUCGUUUAUUUGAUAGUACCUUACUACUUGGAUAACCGUGGUAAUUCUAGAGCUAAUACAUGCUAAAAACCCCGACUCACGAAGGGGUGUAUUUAUUAGAUUAAAAACCAAUGCCCUUCGGGGCUCUCUGGUGAUUCAUAAUAACUUCUCGAAUCGCAUGGCCUUGUGCCGGCGAUGGUUCAUUCAAAUUUCUGCCCUAUCAACUUUCGAUGGCAGGGUCUUGGCCUGCCAUGGUUACAACGGGUAACGGAGGGUUAGGGCUCGACCCCGGAGAAGGAGCCUGAGAAACGGCUACUACAUCCAAGGAAGGCAGCAGGCGCGCAAAUUACCCAAUCCCGAUUCGGGGAGGUAGUGACAAUAAAUACUGAUACAGGGCUCUUUUGGGUCUUGUAAUUGGAAUGAGUACAAUUUAAAUCCCUUAACGAGGAACAAUUGGAGGGCAAGUCUGGUGCCAGCAGCCGCGGUAAUUCCAGCUCCAAUAGCGUAUAUUAAAGUUGUUGCAGUUAAAAAGCUCGUAGUUGAACCUUGGGCCUGGCUGGCCGGUCCGCCUCACCGCGUGCACUGGUUCGGCCGGGCCUUUCCCUCUGGGGAGCCUCAUGCCCUUCACUGGGUGUGUUGGGGAACCAGGACUUUUACUGUGAAAAAAUUAGAGUGUUCAAAGCAGGCCUAUGCUCGAAUACAUUAGCAUGGAAUAAUAGAAUAGGACGUGUGGUUCUAUUUUGUUGGUUUCUAGGACCGCCGUAAUGAUUAAUAGGGACAGUCGGGGGCAUUAGUAUUCAAUUGUCAGAGGUGAAAUUCUUGGAUUUAUUGAAGACUAACUACUGCGAAAGCAUUUGCCAAGGAUGUUUUCAUUAAUCAGGAACGAAAGUUAGGGGAUCGAAGACGAUCAGAUACCGUCGUAGUCUUAACCAUAAACUAUGCCGACUAGGGAUCGGACGGUGUUAUUUUUUGACCCGUUCGGCACCUUACGAGAAAUCAAAGUCUUUUGGGUUCUGGGGGGGAGUUUUUGAAACGC
rnacentral:rRNA from 1 species